UGGGGAAUAUUGCACAAUGGGCGCAAGCCUGAUGCAGCCAUGCCGCGUGUAUGAAGACGGCCUUCGGGUUGUAAAGUACUUUCAGCGGGGAGGAAGGUGUUGAGGUUAAUAACCUCAGCAAUUGACGUUACCCGCAGAAGAAGCACCGGCUAACUCCGUGCCAGCAGCCGCGGUAAUACGGAGGGUGCAAGCGUUAAUCGGAAUUACUGGGCGUAAAGCGCACGCAGGCGGUCUGUCAAGUCGGAUGUGAAAUCCCCGGGCUCAACCUGGGAACUGCAUUCGAAACUGGCAGGCUAGAGUCUUGUAGAGGGGGGUAGAAUUCCAGGUGUAGCGGUGAAAUGCGUAGAGAUCUGGAGGAAUACCGGUGGCGAAGGCGGCCCCCUGGACAAAGACUGACGCUCAGGUGCGAAAGCGUGGGGAGCAAACA
rnacentral:rRNA from 1 species